rfam:Capsicum annuum cultivar Zunla-1 chromosome 4, whole genome shotgun sequence
GUUUCUCCUUUUGGGUACAUGCUAUAAAAUUGGAACGAUACAGAGAAGAUUAACAUGGCCCCUGCGCAAGGAUGACACGCACAAAUCGAGAAAUGGUCCAAAAAAUUUUU